rnacentral:misc_RNA from 1 species
CUGAGUUGGCGUUGCGCCAUGCUCCACCCUUGUUGGUUGACGUUGCUUCGGCAAGACGUUGGAAGCAACCAUCGGAAUGCGGAACGGCCCGAGAGCCGUCCCGCAGCCGCUGCGUGCUUGCCGGACUUCAAUACUCUAAACCUUAGUCAGAUAAAACAAGCAAUGUAUAA